rnacentral:rRNA from 1 species
UACGUAGGGUGCAAGCGUUAAUCGGAAUUACUGGGCGUAAAGCGUGCGUAGGCGGUUUAGUGUGUGGGAAUUGAAAGCCCGGGGCUCAACUCCGGAUCCGGUUCCCAAACUGCUAGACUCGAGCGUAUCAGAGGAGAGCGGAAUUCCCGGCGUAGCGGUAAUAUGCGUAGAUAUCGGGAGGAACACCAGUGGCGAAGGCGGCUCUCUGGGGUAUUGCUGACGCUGAGGCACGAAAGCCAGGGGAGCGAACGGG